AGUCUUGUAGUUUAUAAAAACCUUAAAUUGCAAAUUUAAAAAUGAUCAUAAUUCUAAGACUU
rnacentral:tRNA from 1 species